GCCCCGAUAGCUCAGCUGGAUAGAGCAUCCCCCUCCUAAGGGGAAGGUCAGAGGUUCGAAUCCUCUUCGGGGCGCCA
rnacentral:tRNA from 1 species